rnacentral:rRNA from 1 species
UACGUAGGGUGCAAGCGUUAAUCGGAAUUACUAGGCGUAAAGCGUGCGCAGGCGGUUUUGUAAGUCUGAUGUGAAAUCCCCGGGCUCAACCUGGGAAUUGCAUUGGAGACUGCAAGGCUAGAAUCUGGCAGAGGGGGGUAGAAUUCCACGUGUAGCAGUGAAAUGCGUAGAGAUGUGGAGGAACACCGAUGGCGAAGGCAGCCCCCUGGGUCAAGAUUGACGCUCAUGCACGAAAGCGUGGGGAGCAAACAGG